UACAAUAUGCAGAAUGGUCUUUUACAUUUGCUCUAUUUACACCAACAAGAACAGAAGGCUCCCUAAUUUUAAUGCACAAAAGUUCAUGACUUAAUGCUUCCAAUGAAUACUGCUUCGAUGUACGCCAAAUAAUAUUUAACUGGCAAAACCAGAUUCCUACAUAAAGUUAUGCUUUAAUUUGUUUAGAGCAAGAUGUUUGGUUGAUCUCUUAUUCUUCAGUAAUCCCAGGUAGUGGCCUCGUGGAUUGUAGGUUCUCUGACGAAGGAACUCAUGGCUCUGGUUGCAGGUUCAUAAGGACUGCAGGCUUGUAUUGGCUUCCUUGCCUACCAUGAGGACUCUAGCAGGCUUUGUGUUGGUUGCCUUGCCCACCUCUCAGUCUUAUUCCAUUUCUCUCUGUUAAUGCUAACAAGUCACAUGGGUUCUCCGUGGGAAGUAGAUGAAUAACAGUUGAAGUGGAACAUUUUUUUUCUACUUACUUUUUAAUACUACAGUAUGGCAUAUAUGUCCAAUGCUUCCUCGAGUGCUAACCAACUUCAUUUUUUUAUUCUACUAAUUCUUGAUCCUGCUGAACAUUGAAUCUAUGAAUCAAACUUGUGACACCUUUCUUAACAGCUUAGGCUAUAACCAAUAGUUUAAUUCUUUCAGCCUUCUAGAUCUUCAUGCUCCUAGUCAGAAAAAUGUUGAAGGGAGCGUAUCUGGUGAGAACUGGCUAAACUUGAAAAACCUGUCAAAACUCAUAUGUAGGAGUUUUACAAAAAAAAAUCUUGAAAAUCUGACCUUCCAAAUUGAUGUCGUAUUAUCAGACAACACAAAAUUUCUGGACCAAACUUUGUCAAAUUUUAUGAGACGCAAAAAUCACACUGAUAAGCUUCAAUCUCGAAUGGUCUAGUUUGAGUACUCAUUUCAUUGUUGGCAGAACUAGGACAAAUUAUCUACUGUGUUCAGGGUGCGUGGCGAGUCGGCGACUGCUCUUAUUGGUUGUUACACUACACCAAAGUGAUUGAUUCAACAUUUCAUUUAUCGACCAGCUUGAUUGUUUCAGGCAAGCAUGCUUAUCAACUAAGAGAUUCUGCAGGUAUUCAGUGUUGUACUGUUUUUAAUGUAUGAAUCCGUAUUUUUUUUGCUGACCCUUUUUAGACAAGUAGGACGGUGCCUCAAAUUUCGUAGAGUCUUCACAUUGCUAUGUAUGAAGCAAUUAGACCUAUUGUCUGCUCAUAUGCUUCUAAAUAUGUCCAAAUCAUUCAAGAAGAUGCUUCUUGUCCUGAGAAUGAUGAUAUUGUAGAUAAUGCUCCAAUUCAAUCAAGUUGUAGCCAAUGAUGACUUUCUUCUUUGUUUUUGUAUAAUUGACAGGUUGCUGGAAUGUUUUAGUGUUCCUGUCAAGUCUUUGUCUUUCAAUGUACUAGUAACAUGGAUCGUGCCUUCCAAUAUUAGUACCAGUAAUUUGGGUAUGAAGUCAGUUUAAUGUAAAUAUAUGAGUACUCUGGAUAUUACAGACACACUGUAAUAACUAACUGCUAAUCAACCUAGUUUGACAGUUGCAUGUUGUAUU